AAACCGUUCAGGGGUAAACCUGAGAAACCCGAAAGAUUCGAACGGGGAGAUUCAUCGUCAGCGGCGCUGGCUUCGCGUCGGUGGGCGAUGUCCCGCGGUGCCGCCUCGUCGCGGCUCCCGCGCGGGCACGCUACCGUGCGUCGAUGUCCGGCGAACGUCGUCGUGCACUUCUCCCCUAGUAGGACGUCGCGACCCGCUGGGUGUCGGUCUACGGCCCGGGGCUGAGGUGACUGCCGCGCGGCACGUAAAACUGCGCGCGGCAAACUCCCGGUCGCCCGGCCGACUGCCCGGCGGUAUACGCAACGGUAUCAGGCCGCGCCUCGCGCGCGUCGAGCCCGUCGCAAGCGAGCGUCACGGUAGCCGGAGGUACGGACCUAGCGCCGUCCCCGGUCCUGGCCCGCUGCUGGCUGCCUCGUACGGUGUAACCUUCGACUGGCCUAGAGUCCCGCGCCCCCGUAACACGGGGCGCGCGGACGGAUACCUGUCGGCGACGCUACUGCUUUGGGUACUCUCAGGA
rnacentral:rRNA from 1 species